UACGAAGGGGGCGAGCGUUGUUCGGAAUUACUGGGCGUAAAGGGCGCGCAGGCGGCCUUAGAAGUCAGAUGUGAAAGCCCCGGGCUCAACCUGGGAAUGGCAUUUGAUACUCUGAGGCUGGAGUACGGGAGAGGAGAGUGGAAUUCCCAGUGUAGAGGUGAAAUUCGUAGAUAUUGGGAAGAACACCAGUGGCGAAGGCGGCUAUCUGGACCGUAACUGACGCUGAGGCGCGAAAGCGUGGGGAGCAAACAGG
rnacentral:rRNA from 1 species